rnacentral:rRNA from 1 species
AAUUUUUAAUCAUUUUAUUAAAAUUAAUAAAAUUACAUUCAAAUUCUUUUUCAAUUAAAUAAUUUCAAUUUUAAUAUUCAUUUAAAUUAAUUUAUUGUAAUUCAUUUAUUCUAAAUUAUUAAUUACAUCUUGAUUUGAUUUAAUUUUAUUUCUAAAACUUUUAAAUAUUAUAAAUUUAUAAAAAAUAUUUUUUUAACAAUGAUAUAUAAAUUUUUAAAUUAAGUAAAUUAAUUCGUGGAUUAUCAAUUAUUAAACAAAUUCCUCUAAAUAAAAUAAAAUACUGCCAAAUUAUUUAAGUUUCGUAUAAUAAUAUAAAUUACUAUUUUAGUAUUAAAACAUUUAAUUUUAUAAUAGGGUA